ensembl:lncRNA
CAAAGAUAAAUAACACAGACUUACUCUCUAUCCCAGUAGUGGUAUCAUUCUGUUGAACACCCUGAAACAGAGGUAAAUGAGCGCGGUCUCUCUCUCUCUCUCUGUCUCUCUCUCUGUCUCUGCCUCUCUCUCUCUCUCUCUCUCUCUGUCUCUGUCUCUGUCUCUGUCUCUCUCUCUCUCUCUCUGUCUCUCUCUCACAUACACACACACACAAAGUGACAGGACAUAUUAAUGCCAUUACUGGUGGCAUCUGUCUCAGGAAUGCUGUAUCAUUUGAUGUCAGUAAGCCUCUAUGUCAGUAUCAAUGAGAGCUAGCAUUGAUCAUCAUGGUUGUUUUAACAGAGGACAUCCUCCUGUGUCAGAUUAAAACACUUUCCUCAUCUAUAAUCCUAAUCUCAGUUUUUACCUUUAUAAUGAACGGCUAGACUGAUUGCUGCUGUCGCGGCAUGAUUCAUUUACUUUGUACAGGGUGAUUCUUUGUCCCUCCCAAUCAACAUAGGCUGGCACAGAACUAGUAUUGUCUAGUCCAGAAUUCAAUGCUUUGGAGAUCUAUUAGCUGAACACUUUUGGAUUAAAACUAUGGUGUAUGUUCAUUUUCAAUGGUAAAAGGCCAGAGGAUAAUAUUUCUAGUUUUAGUCAUUUUGUUGUCAUACAGUUUGACAGAGAAACACAUGGAGUGAAAUAGUCAUUCCAGUCAAUUUCAUGCAGAUGAAUUGCAGGCUAUGUGUGAGGGUUAAGCUGGCUGUUCUUGGAUAUUAUUGAAUUACUGUUCAUGUUUCCCAUGGGCAGAUUAGGGAUUAGAGGGCUCUCCUCACGGUAAAUACCAGUCAGAACACACUGGCAGAUAUGUCCUCCGGCUGGGUAUCAACAGUGCACUGCCUUCCCUUCACUCCAGCAUACAGACCAACAAGACCCCUAGCUCCUGCAGAGUGUGUGUGACAAGACUGUGUGUGUGUGUGACAAGACUGUGUGUGUGUGUGACAAGACUGUGCGUGUGUGUGUGUGUGUGUGUGAGACAAGACUGUGUCUGUGUGUGCGCGUGUGUGUGAAUGUAUGUGUAUGUGCAGGCGUCUUUUUGUGAAUGACUUUCAAUCGCCAUUCUUCAUAUCUUCAUAUUUGGCACUCUAGAUGUCCAUGUGUGUGCAAUAGUUACAUUAUAAGGUUAGUCAAGAUACUGUUUAAGAGACAGUUUUAUAUUCGGUUUUUAGAUUUGCAUUCAUUCAAACUUUGGGGAUAUUCCAUUUGGGAACUGUCUGUCUAUAUUAUGUGUGAUGUAGGGUAGAGUGUAGCAUUGUGGGUAUUUCUAAGAGUCUGUGUGGACUAUUUGUGCUGCAGGCAGGGGGAAGAGGAUAACGUGUUGGGGGAAGAGAAGAGGAGAAGGAGGAGGGCAUAUUUAGAUCUACUUGAAUGAUCCCAGUCACAAGGCCACCAUUGCCUUAAGCAUGUGUGUGUCUUUAUGUGUCUGUAUGUGUGUGUGUGCUGUGUGUGUGUGGGUGUUUGUGUGUGUCUGACUCAUUCCGUUCGAUGGGAGUUGAGUUACGAGGGGGCGAUGGAAGCAUAAGGGAACUCUACCCUAGAAUGUUUGUGGGCUAUGUGUGUGUGUGUGUGUGUGUGUGUGUGUGUGUGUGUGUGUGUGUGUGUUUGUCUGUUUAUGUGUGUGCGUGUGUGUGUGUAGUUGUCUGUUUAUGUGUGUGUAAGUAACCCACUCUGUCUGUGUGUAUCAUACCAGUGAGAACCUGUGACUGUCCUGACCAGACAUAUCAUGUUCUCUGGGCCAGUGAGUGUGUUUUUCUGCUGCUCAGCUUUAGUGAGUGUGUUUCUCUGCUGCUCAGCUGCAGUGAGUGUGUUUCUCUGCUGCUCUGCUGCAGUGAGUGUGUUUCUCUGCUGCUCUGCUGCAGUGAGUGUGUUUUUCUACUGCUCAGCUGCAGUGAGUGUGUUUUUCUGCUGCUCAGCUGCAGUGAGUGUGUUUCUCUGCUGCUCUGCUGCAGUGAGUGUGUUUUUCUGCUGCUCUGCUGCAGUGAGUGUAUUUUCGUGCUGCUCUGCUGCAGUGAGUGUGUUUCUCUGCUGCUCAGCUGCAAUGAGUGUGUUUUUUUCCUGCUCUGUUGCAGUGAGUGUGUUUCUCUGCUGCUCAGCUGCAGCGAGUGUGUUUCUUCGCUGCUCUGCUGCAGUGAGUGUGUUUGUGUUGCGGUGAAGAGCCCUGUAUGUUUACAUGCGCUUCAGAGUGUGUCGUUUUCUGUUCAGGCUUAGGCUACCCAGCUCUCUGUUAGAAGAGGCCCAACCUGCUCUCUCUCUCUCUCUCUCUCCUGUCACUAAUUUAGAGCUAUUAUGGUUGUUGUUGCAGCUACUGUCUGAUAUUUCUGACUUGGCAGAGACAUGAGAGAUGUGCUAUCGCUCAAAUUUAUGGUUGUUUGGUUCGCAUGUGGACUUCUGCAGAUUUAAAAUAUGUGCGUGCAUGUGUGUGGUGCACAGCAUGAGCCUUUGGCUUGAUAGGACUGACUUACUGAAUCAGUGCUCCUCAUGUGUGACAGCACAUUUCUCUCUCUCUCUGCUGGUAUAAACUGUGUUAGUGACUGCAGAGAUCUGUUCUGCUUUCACAGUGUUUAAAUAUGUAUCUGAAACUGGUCUCAUCCAGCUGGAACUGCUAUUGCUUUCAUGUGUAAUGUUAUUCAAUAAAAAUAAAGCAUAUCUUCGUCAACUGUCCACUAUACUUCCUCUAUCAACACUCUAACGACCCUAUAUGCUAUAGUGUCA